UUCCCUUAGUAACGGCGA
rnacentral:snRNA from 1 species